AUUUGAUAUGUUAAAUGAUUGUUUGUGAUAUCUGGUUUAGAGAGUUGUAAUGACACAUGGUUUAGAACAAUUAUAAUGACACAUAUGGGUUAGACAUGUGUUUUAAUGACUAUCUGAAUUUGUUUAUGGUUUCUCCAGUUUAUGAUUUUGUUCCUGUAAUUGAGAGCUCUAAGUGCAUCACUGUGAUGAAAGCAUUUUUUGUUAUCUUCAUAGUAGAUUAUUUUUUUGUUUAUUAGUUGUUUUCAUAGUAGAUUUUUUUUUAUUCAUAGCUAUAUUUGAUAUUAACUUUGUCCUAGCUAUAAGGCAAUAAGGUCAGUUCAUUAUGCUUCAUUUUUGCUGCUAAGUGAUAUGCCACAUGCUACUACUGUGUGUACUACUAGGUGCUUAGUUUGUGUUUUCUACCAUACCUUUUUGCGAUACAUGAGGGAAAGAGUGCGGGAGGGGAUUGUGUGCAACGUGUGACGAAAAAUAGGAUACAUACAAAUGAUAAUUGGAAAGUGACGUUGACUCCAAAUAUGCAUUUUCCAUUAUGGCACAAAGAAGCCGAGACAGUUACGCGACCGAUUUCAGUCGUGUUCACUAUUGUUUGUCCAUUAGUAUCUCCAGACAAGUUUUUUAUGCCUUUUCAUAUAAUAUGCAUAGUUCAGCUUUUUGCUACUUUGAUAUUUGUCUAUGUACUUGGUUUGGAUACUAAACACAAGAUGAUACUUGACUAUUAGAAAGAUGUAAACAACUAUAGAAGUAUUUUAUUUAUAUAGGCAGAAUAUGGAUCCUUUUUCAGUCAUUUUUUGUUGCGGCAUUUAUAUAGGUUUAAAUACAUAAGUUUUAUUUUUCUGUUACCAAGCAUUCCCGGUCUUGAAAUAUUGGUUUAAGGAGAAUUUUCUACAUGGUAAUGAAGUCUUCCUCUACAGACGAGGUUACAAAUUCUGAUGCAACUAAUUUUUUAAAUAAAGGAACACAUCUUUUUCUUUGUAAUUGCUUUAAUAUUGAUAUAUGAUGUGGUCUUUAAUAAUGGAGUCCAUGCUGCAGAAUUUCAUUAUGGCAAGGAGUACACAAGAAGUUGCCGAGGGAUUGCUUAAAUUAAAGGCUUAAUAGGUCUGAUCGAUGUUGAUUACGAGUCUGAUCUGUUGCUUCGAACUAACCUUUUGAAACUAUGCACUUACCUCAUGGAAUUCGAUACAACCAAUGUAAGUCAUAUUGCCUUAUUGUGAAACAUCGAAACUUUCUUUUUGAUUGGUUAUUGAUCUCCAUUUUUCUGAUGAAAAUUAUACAUAUUGCCUUAUUAUGUGGCUUUUUAUGGGUCCUGGCUUUGUUUUUUGGAGUUUUUCCUGGCAUUAGUGGUGUGCAGCAGCUGCUGGUGUGUCUGGCAUCAGCUGGUAUGGCGGGAGUGCUGCAAUUUUGCGGUUUUGGAAGUUUUUAGAGAGGUCUGUUAUGCCUUAGUAACCGUUGGUUUGCCUGAGUUUUGUUUAUGUUCCACUUCUCAGUUGGAGUUAGGAAUCUUAGGGGUUUUUUUAUUGAGUUUUCCUUUUGGUGUUGAGGUGUCUACUGUUAUAUGGCGCCUUAUUGCACUCCUUUUCCUCCUUUGUGGGACAAUGUACAAAGAAGUGUUCCAGAAUGUUCGAUAGCCUAUUUUAUUAUUCCAUGUUUGUUGUUGUCACAA